rnacentral:rRNA from 1 species
AUGGCAUCUCUUCAGCUCGACUCUACCCUAGUCCUCUGCCUCCUCUUCGUGGUAUCUUACUUCACCAUCGUCGCGAAAGGCUUCGGACACGGCCGCCGGAGUGCGCAGCCACCUUCGCCACCUGGGCUGCCCAUCAUCGGCAACCUGCUCCAGUUUGGGCGGGGCCGCCAUCACCAGACGCUCGAGGCCCUCGCGCGGCGCCACGGCCCGCUCAUCCUCCUCCGCAUCGGCGCCGUGCGGGCCGUCGUGGUCUCCUCCGCUCCACUCGCCGACGCGGUGCUAAGGACCCAGGACCACGUCUUCUGCAGCCGCCCGCAGCAGUACAUGACCCGCGGUACGUUCUACGGCUGCCGGGACGUCGCCUUCAGCGCCUACAGCGAGCGCUGGCGCCAACUCCGCCGCAUCGCCGUGGUGCACCUCCUCAGCGUGAAGCGGGUCGACUCCUUCCGCGCCCUCCGGGAGGAGGAUGUCGCGCGCUUCGUGGGACGGGUCCGCGCGGCCAGUGGCACCCAGGAGGACGGCGGCAAACGCCCGGGGGUCAACGUCACCGAGCUCAUCAUCACCCUAACCUACUCCGUGAUCUCGAGGGCGGCUUUCGGGCACAAGCUUGGCGGCGUGGAGCCGGCCAAGGUCCGCGACAUGAUGAACGAGCUCACUGAGCUGCUCGGCACGAUCGCCGUGAGCGACGUGUUCCCGACAAUAGGGUGGCUGGUGGACUGGGCGACGGGGCUCGACGCGAGGGUGAAGAGGACGGCGGCCAAGCUCGACAGUAUUAUGGAGAGGACCAUCACGGAUCACGAGGGGAACCCAGGAAACGACGACGGGGCCCGGGACCUCCUGGACGACUUGCUCUCGAUCGCUAAGGAUGGUGACCAGGGGUUUAAGCUGGACAUGAUUGAUGUGAAGGGACUUAUCUUGGACAUGUUCAUAGGUGGCACCGACACGACCUACAAGGCGAUAGAAUGGACCAUGGCGGAGCUCAUCAAGAAUCCAAGAGAAAUGGCAAAGGUGCAAUCACAGGUGAGACAGGUUGCAGGUGAGCAUGCAGGAGUCCUUGAGGAGGAGCUGGACAAGAUGAACCUCCUGCAGUCGGGCAUGAAAGAAACAUUGCGGCUACACCCAGCGGUGCCGCUCCUCCUCCCACGAGAGUCGAUUCAAGAUGCACAGCUGCACGGCUAUGACAUCCCGGCCAAAACCAAUGUCAUGGUCAACACGUGGGCCAUCGCCCAUCGGGAGGGAUAA